CCUACGGGAGGCAGCAGUGAGGAAUAUUGGUCAAUGGCCGUAAGGCUGACCCAGCAAAGUCGCGUGAAGGAAGAAGGAUCUCUGGUUUGUAAACUUCUUUUUUAGGGGAAUAAAGGUAUCCACGUGUGUAUAUUUGCAUGUACCCUAUGAAUAAGCAUCGGCUAACUCCGUGCCAGCAGCCGCGGUAAUACGGAGGAUGCGAGCGUUAUCCGGAUUUGUUGGGUUUAAAGGGUGCGUAGGUUGGUUUUUAAGUCAGCGGGGAAAGUUUGUGGCUCAACCAUAAAAUUGCCGUUGAAACUGGAAGACUUGAGUGUGUUUGAGGUAGGCGGAAUGCGUUGUGUAGCGGUGAAAUGCAUAGAUAUAACGCAGAACUCCGAUUGCGAAGGCAGCUGACUAAGCCAUAACUGACACUGAAGCACGAAAGCGUGGGGAUCAAACAGGAUUAGAUACCCUAGUAGUC
rnacentral:rRNA from 1 species